GAUGAACGCUGGCGGCGCGCCUAACACAUGCAAGUCGAACGGCACCCCUCUCCGGAGGGAAGCGAGUGGCGAACGGCUGAGUAACACGUGGAGAACCUGCCCCCUCCCCCGGGAUAGCCGCCCGAAAGGACGGGUAAUACCGGAUACCCCGGGGUGCCGCAUGGCACCCCGGCUAAAGCCCCGACGGGAGGGGAUGGCUCCGCGGCCCAUCAGGUAGACGGCGGGGUGACGGCCCACCGUGCCGACAACGGGUAGCCGGGUUGAGAGACCGACCGGCCAGAUUGGGACUGAGACACGGCCCAGACUCCUACGGGAGGCAGCAGUGGGGAAUCUUGCGCAAUGGGGGGAACCCUGACGCAGCGACGCCGCGUGCGGGACGGAGGCCUUCGGGUCGUAAACCGCUUUCAGCAGGGAAGAGUCAAGACUGUAC
rnacentral:rRNA from 1 species